CGUUUUCCAAUUGUUUGUAGAACCAAAUAAUGAUUGCUGACGUGACGCGCAGUAUAUAAGAUACCUUCUCCUCCCGGUUCUCCUAAAAACAGAAGCUCCUCCGUCCUCCGUCCUUCGACCUCCGUCCUUCGACCUCCGUCCUCCGUCUCUCUCACAAUCACAGACACAGACACAGCAAAAAAUGGAAGCUAAGAAGCCAUGGAUAAACGCUUUCAGAGCAAAAUCAAAGCAAGCCACGCUGCUUUGGCUCGAGGGCUUCCGAGAGGCCUGCUGCCUUCACCGCGUUCUCAUCCUCUGCCACCGGUCGAGAAAGCUUAUGAUUCGAACAGGACAGUGUUUUCUAUUAAACGGCUUCAUUUUCUUAGGAAGUAUAAUUAUCCUUAACUCAGUCAUCAUCCCAACUCUACACUGGAUAUUACCUGAUAGAUGCCCAGAAUAUAGUUCUCAAGAACUCUGCUCAUUUGGUGGUAUAUUGAAAUUUUAUUCCUUCUUGCGGCAGGGACUUGUACAACUCUUUUAUGUAACUUGGUUCUACCCGCUAUACGUAUUCAGCAUUAUCCUGAGCAACAUCUGGUACAACGACAUUGCUAAGUAUGGAUUUUCUUCAAUGGGGAGGUCCGCGCCAACCACAUUGGAUCCUGUCAGACAAAAUGAGGCAUUGGUCUUACAAAAUAUUGUUGGUCCGGAAAGACCUGCUGGCCUGGGAGGGGUCAUAAUUGGCAUAGGAGAGCAGGUGUAUUCAGUACUUCUUUUGAGUUGUUUCUUCCUAGAGGUAUAUGUGACAGGAUUUAUACCGUAUGUUGGGAUGGCACUAAAUUUUCUGCUUCUGUCCUGGAUGUAUGCUUAUUACUGUUUCGAGUACAAAUGGAAUUUUUCUGAAGUUCGUCUUGAAAAACGGCUGGAUUUCUUUGAAUCUAACUGGGCUUUUUUUGCUGGUUUUGGUAAAUAUAUUUCCAUUCUGGGAGCCCUUGCGUUCUGCCUAUACUCUUUUUCUCACCUCUUGUGAGCUACGGAUUUAUGGCAAUUCUCUUUCCAUUGUUUGUUUUGACAGCAACGGGCUCAGAGGCUGAGCAAGUUAUUUCUUCUCAAAGGACAAAAUGGGAAGGUGCUGGGUUGGGAAAGCUUCCAAUAUUUAAUGCUGCAGAUAACCUAUCGAUGCGGGUUUUGUCUCUGUUUCCCCUGGAAUCCCAGGAGUUACUUCAGAAAAAGAAAGAUCGCUAAAGUUUGGCUUAGUGUUUACGCAAUUGUAAAAAAGUAAGUCAACUUUUUUCUCUUUGGCCGUAAGGUUUCUAUUGUGCUCCCAUUCAAUCAACAAAGUUGUAGAUGUGUUGCGUUGCGUUGCAGUCUUUAUCUGAUUGAUAUGAUAAUAAUUUCUUAAUUUAAAUGCAAUGGUUCAAGAUAGGGCGUCAUCGGAAGGGUUUCAUGGUUCCAUUCUGUAUAUUGUACAUAGAAACUAGGUGUUGAUCAAACUUUAUCAAAUGUAUAGAAAUAGUAUUUCAUCAAAGACCGAUUUCAUGGGUCAAAUUUCAUGAGCAUAUCGUGUUGCAACGCCAUGUUCGUUUGCAAUUCGGUUAGAUUUCACCCGUUGUUAUGGAACUUUCAUAUGCAAUGCCAUGUUCGUUUUUCGGUUCCUCAGUUA